UGGCUCUUUGAAGGGUAAGGAAAUGAGAAAAGAACUUGUAAUUUCAUCUGGAAAUCCCCAGCAAAUGAUGAUCUGACAUCAGUGCUUAAACAGCUCAUUUGGCAUUUUCUCCAGCAGAGUCAAAAAUGAAAAAUGGAAAUGAAUUCUGAGGAGUGGUCUGAACAAGGCAAAGGAGAUAUGAGAAACAGCUGUGCAGAGGUCAUUCCAUGCAUAAGGAGCUGCAGGGAAUAAGGCUCUGAGAUGUGCAUAAGAGAAAACAAAAUGGGUAUUGAGGCUGGUAUCCCUGGCAUAUCUUCAUGUGAGCCAAUGGUCCAGUACUUAAAAAAUGCAUCAGGAAUCUUAGUUUAUAUCUUCAUCGCUGUUGCCUUGACUGACUGGAGGACUUUGGGAAAAUCACCAACUCUCAUUGCCUCAUUUUACCUAUUAGUGAAAUGGAAAUAUUAAUACCUUAAUUCACUGGGUCUUUAUUGAUAUUAAAGAUUAAAACCUCAAAAGACCUUUAAGAUUUCCAAUUCAAAGGUGCUAGAAGUGCCAAUUCAUCCAGAUGGGUGAGCCACAUGGGAAAAGAUGUUUAAACAUUGUAUCCUUCUAAUAUUUUAUUCAUCGUUAUCAAUUUACCUGGUGUGUUUAUGCUUCAUACCCACUGUUACACUGUAUGGAAUCUGGGGAACACUUUAGGAUAUUAUGAAUAUUGUAAAAUCGCAAUGAGUUAUGCCAGAUAUGUUGUGUAAGAUAUCUGUGAAAAUGUUAUAAUUUGCCAAAUAUGAUGAUCCUGUUUAUAUGUUCAUAUCACCUUUGUAUUGGGUAUGUCUGUAUUACAAAACUUGUUCUGUGCUUCUUAGUGACACCCCCAGACAGCUUGGUAUCAGCACUCCUAGCCUGCUUGAUGUCCCAUUAAGGACCAUCAGCUAUACAAUUGACCCACUGAGAGAAGGCAAGGUUAUGUGCCUUAUGACUCAGCAAGGCAUGCACGGACAUGCUUAUGGACAGAAAAGGCUUCCAAACCAUGUGCUGGGCAACUUGUGUUUGAAACAAAGGAAGCACAAGCUGCAAGGCAAAAAACUGUAAAAAGCAGCUGCAUCUUCACCAUUUUGUCUUUGUUCCUGCUUCGUACCUCUGGAGGAACUUUGCUACAAACUGAAGCACUGAAAGGACUGAAUGCCCCAUCCAAGCUGUGGAUGUCGUCCAGAGGGACUUUCAAGCCAGCAAACU